CCUACGGGGGGCUGCAGUGGGGAAUAUUGGACAAUGGGCGAAAGCCUGAUCCAGCCAUGCCGCGUGGGUGAAGAAGGCCCUAGGGUUGUAAAGCCCUUUCGGCGGGGACGAUGAUGACGGUACCCGCAGAAGAAGCCCCGGCUAACUUCGUGCCAGCAGCCGCGGUAAUACGAAGGGGGCUAGCGUUGCUCGGAAUUACUGGGCGUAAAGGGCGCGUAGGCUGCCAUGCUAGUCAGGUGUGAAACCCCCGGGCUCAACCUGGGAACUGCACUUGA
rnacentral:rRNA from 1 species